rnacentral:misc_RNA from 1 species
CCAAACUUGGUCAUUUAGAGGAAGUAAAAGUCGUAACAAGGUUUCCGUAGGUGAACCUGCGGAAGGAUCAUUAUCGAAUCCAAAGGGGUUUAAGAGGAUGUGCAUGUGGCCCCUUGCGGGCUACCUUGCACUCUCCCUAAAUCUUCUUGCAUUUGACCCUGUGCACCUUUUGUAGGCGUGGACGUAUGUCUUUGCCUACGUUUUUUGAAUCAACUCCUAUUUGUUUUAUGUAUUGCAUGCGAUCAUGUUUUUGAACAACUUUCAACAAUGGAUCUCUUGGCUCUCGCAUCGAUGAAGAACGCAGC